rnacentral:rRNA from 1 species
UACGUAGGCAGCAAGCGUUGUUCGGAGUUACUGGGCGUAAAGGGUGUGUAGGCGGUUGCUUAAGUUUGGUGUGAAAUCUCCCGGCUUAACUGGGAGGGUGCGCCGAAUACUGAGUGACUCGAGUGCGGGAGAGGAGAGUGGAAUUCCUGGUGUAGCGGUGAAAUGCGUAGAUAUCAGGAGGAACACCUAUGGCGAAGGCAGCACUCUGGUACGUGAUUGACGCUGAGACGCGAAAGCGUGGGGAGCAAACAGG